rnacentral:rRNA from 1 species
GAUGAACGCUGGCGGCGUGCUUAACACAUGCAAGUCGAACGAUGAUGCCCAGCUUGCUGGGUGGAUUAGUGGCGAACGGGUGAGUAACACGUGAGUAACCUGCCCUUGACUCUGGGAUAAGCCUGGGAAACUGGGUCUAAUACCGGAUACGACCAUCUGGCGCAUGUCAUGGUGGUCGAAAGCUUUUGUGGUUUUGGAUGGACUCGCGGCCUAUCAGCUUGUUGGUGGGGUAAUGGCCUACCAAGGCGACGACGGGUAGCCGGCCUGAGAGGGUGACCGGCCACACUGGGACUGAGACACGGCCCAGACUCCUACGGGAGGCAGCAGUGGGGAAUAUUGCACAAUGGGCGCAAGCCUGAUGCAGCGACGCCGCGUGAGGGAUGACGGCCUUCGGGUUGUAAACCUCUUUCAGUAGGGAAGAAGCGAAAGUGACGGUACCUGCAGAAGAAGCGCCGGCUAACUACGUG